UGAACGUCACACGGAGCGCACCUGGCGGUGAUUCUCGGCACGAACCUACGAACCUCCUAACGCGCAAUGCAGUGCGUAAAGUGAGUUCUUCGAGCCUUUGUGUUAUACAUACGAAGCUGUAAUAGCUAGUUUGCGGAUUUUCAUGCAAAUUCAUAUUGUAAAGAAUAUAAUUAAAAAAGCAGAUUGCUUUACCUACCAAGUAUUAUAGAAAGCAGUUCGAUAUUUUAUAUAUUUUUCAUAUAUAUGCAUUCUGUGCAAUUUUGUACUUUUGCUAUAAAUGCAUAAAAAUCUGCAGUGUAGGUAAUUACGGAGGUAAUUAGUGUGAACUGAAGAAGAUAGAAAGAAAACAAUCAUAAAAUCGACCACUCGAUUCGUGCUGAGGAUUAAUUGAAAGGUGACGUCAAAGUGCCGCGACUCAGUUGUAACGCACCGGUCGAAGAUAUUAACACAUACUGUUAACUUGGAAUGUGUAGUGAUCGAUUGUUGGUUCUUUGUGAUUGGUUAUUCAUGGAAAUUUAUGGUCAUGGGUAGAUAAAUUGUUUAUGGACAUAUUAUGUAUCGUAUUAACGCUUUAUGACGAUUGUUAGAAAAUGUAGAAGUUUCAAAGCAAGCAAUGACAAUACUAUUUAAAACAUGAAACAAUAAAACAAAAUAUACAGUGAAAGUUCGAAAGCGAUGGAAGAACUCAGUAAACGUUUGUGCAAAAUAAUUUGUAUAAUUGUAUUAGCGGGAUGAGACAAUAACAAUCAUGACAAUUAAUGUUGCAUUUAAUAUAUUUCACAUGCGUUGUAAAAGAAUUUAAGUUACAAGUUAUUAGUAUAGUAAUUAUUAUACAUGUGCAAAUAAAUUAUUUAUUAGCUAUAGCAUUUAAACAUUAUAAUAUAUAGUACUUUAAUAGAUAAAAUGAAGUUAUGAACUGAAUAAAUUCAAUAAAAUAGACAAUUUUUUUAAUAUGAAUUAGCUUAUUCUUAUAAGCAAAAUAUUAAUGGCGUUAUACGUAGUUAGUAUGUAGUUAAUAAAUAUUUUCAUUUCACUUUUUCAUUAUCGAUUUCUCAUAAAAACAUGUCUCAUAAAUGUACGUGGAAGCUAUGAGUAAUUGUAAACAGUGAAAGUUACUUAAUUAUUAGUCACCAAUCAUCAUUCACAACAUACCAAUCUGUAUUAAUCUGUAUUAUAUUUUCUAUUUAAUACUUUAUCACAUGAGAGGAACGACAACUUUUCAAAUAAUCCAUUUGUAAAUUUAAAUACUUCAUUUCGUUAAGAACAAGAUUCAACACAAGAGGGCGCUAAAAGUGCAUGCGAAAUGUCGAAAUUGAUCAUUGGCCAAAGUUUUAUCCGUAUUACGAGACGAGAGAAUGUAUGACGACGUGACAUAUUCAGGAAAAACUGACACGUGUGCAUUCGGCUGCAAUAGUGUGCGUGGACGACAGAUGUAUCUUGAUUCAGAGUCACGUGUUCAUCACUGCUAAUUUUUCGUCUUACACGUAACAUAUAACAGUAUUGUCAAAAUGAUCAUAGACACGUAGUGGUCACGUAUAGUGCUAUAGGUUGUGCAUGUUUCGUAUUGCGUAAGCUCUCGCAAAGAUUGUACAAUGCUUGUAAACGACCGAUCUAAUUCCAUCCAUCUACGAGCAUCAUUGAUCGCAAUAUUGAUUACAUAUAUUAAAUGCAACUAAAUUGGAUCAUCAUUGGCAAAUAAUGAAGAUAGACAUUGAAAAGCAGCGACGAAAAAUUAGACGCAAUUCUAGUGUGAUAAUUUAUUAGAUGUUCUUUUUAUACAAUGUAUUAUGUAUCUGCGUGCACUUAGAACUAUGAAAAACUGUUCACAAAUAAUAUGCAACAUGUAAAUUAUGUAUAUGCAUAAAUGCAACGAAAAUUGGAAUUUUAUUAAUCUUAUAUAAUUUCUAUUUCUCUAAUGAGAGUAACUUUCAAAUUCCAGUUCUUCUUCCCGUACCAUAUUGUAUACAAAAAGAAUUUAUUACAAUAGCUGAAAAGAUACAAAUAUUUCCACUGUUAUGACAGACAUAUGUAUGUUAUCGGUUAUAGGUUAUAUUGAUAAGUAAUGUAAAGCAACUUAUAUUCUCUCUCUCUGAAAUUAACUAUUAAGCUCAAAUUAUAUAUAAAAUAUUUCCAUACGUAAAUUCAAAGAGUUUUGAUGUUUCAGAUUAUAAAAUACACGAAUUGUCAUCGUUAUGGAGCACCAAGUGUUGCGCACUUUAAAAUGUUCUUUCGAAGUCACGCGUUAAUAGAUCACGUGACUUAGGUGAUUUAGGCGAAAGUAACUUUUUUUGCUAUUCAUUUAAACGUAAUUUAUUUUCCUUAAAACUAAUAUCCCUUUCAAUUUAUUUACGAAUUGAAGCAAAAAUAAUUUCGUUCUUCGCAAACGAAAUUUAAUUACUUUAUAGAUAUUAAAAACGUAAUUAUGAACAAAUUCUGUACAGCGUUCGUUUGAAGCAUAAAUUUAAAGUGUCAAGUCAUUGAUUUUGUUGCUUUUAAGAUUUGUAAAACAAUAGCUAUAUACAUAUAACUCGAAGUUGACUUGUACAUCUAUACAUUAUCGUAUGAUCGUACGAUAUCACAUUACAAUAUGAAAACAUGUGGCUCCUUGGAAAUUUGCGUAUGCGAUGUACAAUAAAAUAUCGAGCGAUGCUUUCAGGAUAAGCCCAUACUAUUUCAAGAUACAAAGCGUUUGACUGGGUGUAGACUAAAUGUCAGUCAAGGUCGAAUCUCAUUGCAGGUCAAUCAGCUUUUGCAUCAGUUUUUCGGUAUGAAGUAAUCGAUAAAAAUUUAUAAAAAC